UUCAUGUAAGGUCUUGAGAUGUAAGAAACUACAAGUGACGAGUCCUAGCUAGAGCCCACACAGACUCUAGGGUCCCAAAGCCUGAGCUGGGACUUUGCUGCCCUCUAAGGGUGGGGAUAAGUUUGCAGUUUCCCAGCUAGGACGCUGGGCCGUGGAGCCGGGAUGGGGCUUGAGACCCCCUUGUGCCUCUCUUUUGGAGAUCAGACUCUGCGGUGGAGCUGUGGAAGCCAGGCGCACAGGAUGCAAGCAGCCAGGCCCAGGGAGGCAGCAGCUGCAUCCUCAGAGAGGAAGCCAGGAUGCCCCACUCUGCCGGGGGUACUGCAGGGGUGGGGCUGGAGGCUGCAGAGCCCACAGCCCUGCUCACCAGGGCAGAGCCCCCUUCAGAACCCACAGAGAUCCGUCCACUAAAGCGGAAAAAGGGGCCAGCCCCCAAAAUGCUGGGGAACGAGCUAUGCAGCGUGUGUGGGGACAAGGCCUCUGGCUUCCACUACAAUGUUCUGAGCUGCGAGGGCUGCAAGGGAUUCUUCCGCCGCAGCGUCAUCAAGGGAGCGCGCUACGUCUGCCACAGUGGC
rnacentral:sRNA from 1 species